UGCGUAGGCGGGCUAAUAAGUCAGUGGUGAAAUCUCUCGGCUCAACCGGGAAACUGCCAUUGAUACUGUUAGUCUUGAGUUCGGUUGAGGUAGGCGGAAUGUGUAAUGUAGCGGUGAAAUGCUUAGAUACUACACAGAGCACCAAUUGCGUAGGCAGCUUACUAGACCGACACUGACGCUGAGGCACGAAAGCGUGGGGAGCGAACAGGAUUAGAUACCCUGGUAGUCC
rnacentral:rRNA from 1 species